rnacentral:lncRNA from 1 species
GUCCACCCUUUUUUUUAUACUAUGUUUCCGCUAUGCGUUUGGCAUAAUGUUGGAGUAUCGACCAAACGCCCUUUGUCCUUUCCCAAAGCUGUGAAGCUUCACAUCCCAAGAUGUGAAGGCAUUGUAACUUUUAGGGACCGCAUAUUUCGCCAGCUGCGAUUUAACAUGCCUCCAUGUCAGAAGAUGACUUGACAUCCAAAUUCGGACCAAAAGCGACGUGUGUUUUGGGUCAGUGUCUUUCUGAUAAAUGCAUUUUUCAGCAGCAAGACCCAUAUUUCCGAAUAUUUCCGGGAGAUUUUGUUGAAGAAUGCCUAAGUUUAGCUCCUUCCUCACUAUUCCAUCGAUUAAGACUAAGGGACCAACUCCUUGUUUUUCGGUCUUAAUGGCGGGGCUAAUCUUUUAAAUACACUAGUUUCAGCGUGGG